rnacentral:rRNA from 1 species
CACGUAGGGCGCAAGCGUUUGUCCGGAAUUAUUGGGCGUAAAGAGCUCGUAGGCGGUUUGUUGCGUCGGCUGUGAAAUCCCGAGGCUCAACCUCGGGUCUGCAGUCGAUACGAGCAAACUAGAGUGUUGCAGGGGAGACUGGAAUUCCUGGUGUAGCGGUGAAAUGCGCAGAUAUCAGGAGGAACACCGGUGGCGAAGGCGGGUCUCUGGGCAACAACUGACGCUGGAGGAGCGAAAGCGUGGGGAGCGAACAGG